UUGACUGCCCAGGAGACUGGGAACGUGUAUUUAUAUGCAGAACAAACAGCAGCCAUGAGAGAUUUCCUUCACUGUCUUGCCAAUGUGACUUAAUGCUAUUUUAGAAGAUUGUGGGGGUAGUUCUGACUCCAUGCCUGUUCAAUCUUUGGCCUCU
rnacentral:sRNA from 1 species